UUUUGAACUCCUUCCUUCAAAACAGUCAAGGAGCCUGUGGUGGGCAAGUCUCCUUUGGAUAGUUUGACCUGCUGAUAGUUCAGGACAGCAGCAGCCACAUCAUACUGUUAGUGUUCCACAACAAACACAGUGAAAUUCUGUCUUAAAAAGGGAAAUGCAGCCCGGUGGUGGUGGCGCACGCUUUUAAUCCCAGCACUUAGGAGGCAGAGGCAGGUGGAUUUCUGAGUUAGAGGCCAGCCUGGUCUACAGAGUGAGUUUUAGGACAGCCAGGGCUACACACAGAAACCCUGUCUCGAAAAAGCAAAAAAAAAAAAAAAAAAAAAAAGGGAAAUGCAAACACUGGCGCCACAGUCCUGGGCCAGCGUUUUUGCAGCAACUUCACAAUCUAAAGUGCUAAACAGGCCUGGCUGGGCUUGAGGAAGGGACAGUUUUGUUUGGCUUUGGUAGUGCCGAGGAACCAGCCAAGGACUUCAUGCUUACUGGCCUUGGGGCAUUCAUCUAUGAGAUUUUUAUUUUACAUGAUUGGAGGUUUCCCCUGUGUGCUUGUACCCAUAGAGGCCAGAAGAAGGCAUUGGAUUCCCUUGUAGUUAGAAUUACAGAGAAUUGUUAGCUACCAUGUGGGUGCUGGGAAUUGAACCUAGGUCCUCUGGAAAGGCAGUCAGUGCUCCUAACCCCUGAGCCAUCUUCUCCAGCCCCAGAAGGUUUUUCAAAAAUAGUUUUUAGUUGGGUAUAUGUGAGGGGGUCUGAGCGCCCUUGCCUUGGGAGACGCUGGAAUUGUGGGUGGCUGUGAGCCACCUAACGUGGGUGUUGGGACUCAAUCUGGGGGUCCUCGUUGCAAGAGCUGCAGCAUAUGUUCUUAACUAAGUCAUCUCCAGCCUCUAUCUGUUUUUUGGGAAACGUGGUCUCCUUUAAUCAUUGACGAAACUCAAAGCUUGCAUCAGUCUUGCUGGAGCAUCCCAAGUCCUACAAUUAUGGGUUUGAGCCACCAUGGGCAGUUUCAGGCCAGUUGUUUACUAAGUACCUGUCGUCUUUACCAGGAUUCUUCACAGUGAGUUUUAAUGCUCUUUAAGAUAUCCAUUUCCAUAACCUUGGCAUCUAGGCUAACAUAAGCUAUGCACUUUCCUGUGAGGAAUGAAAACUAAUUCUUUCUGCAUCCUAGUCCCAAUGAGGAAUCCUGGUUGAAAAGGGGUUACGAACUACUUAUCUCCACCUAUAACUGUGGACAGCGAUUUACCCCAGUAACAGGAAGUUCUUAGCAGCAGAGAGGAGGGGGGCUUUGCUUCUGAUCUUGAACUGUACAACAGUUGGAUCACUUUGCUUCGGUGACUCCCUGGUUGCUUUGCACUACAACUUGUAUCUGCAAAACUUUCCCCUCCCAUUUCUGUUUUCACUUUGCUACAGACUUAGAAUGAGAGCUUGGCUGACUUAUUCCAGAUAUUAGGAAGCUAGAGUUACAGCUCAAAGGUAGAAUACUUCCUUUGCAAAAGGCUUGAUGAGGCUGGAGAGAUGGCUCAGCGGUUAAGAGCACUGACUGCUCUUCCAGAGGUCCUGAGUUCAAUUCCCAGCAACCACAUGGUGGCUCACAACCAUCUGUAACAGGAUCCGAUGCCCUCUUCUGGUGUGUCUGAAGACAGUUACAGUGUACUUACAUAAAAUAAAAAAUUUUUUUUAAAAAAGAAAAACUUGUUUUUAAAAUUUGUGUGUGUGUGUGCACACGCGCAACAGUGCAUAUAUGGGGAUCUGGACAACUUGGAGGAGUCGGUUCUCUCCUUCCACCAUGUGACGUGGGACUCGGGGUUUGAGCUACGAUCAUCAGGCUUGGCAGCAGGUGCCUUUAUCCACAGAGCCAUCUAGUUUUUGUUUUAAUAAAGUGUUGAAGUAUUUGGCUGCAGUGAGAUGUUAGUGAAGCUGGUCUCUGGAUUUGCUAAGACGGCAAAAGGGGUAUUUAGGAGUUACUACAUGGCCUGUCACAGCAUUACUUGAGAGUUACAGGGUUGAGUCCCAGGUCCUGGCUUUUCUUGUGAAAUUCUAAGCCUGCUUCUUGUAUGAAACUGGCACUCUACCUCAGAAGUCAUAUAAGUUGUAUAAGAUAACUGGACACAAACUCCUAGCCCAAGGCACUGCCACACUAAGGCUUUGUAGAUCAACCCAAAUAAUACAUUGUAAAUGUGUAGACAGACUUCUACUAGCCAGUCGGGGCUUUGGCUGCAAUCAUGGCUGUUGCCUAAGACUGCUGAUCACCUAUGGAUCACUAGGAUGUUUUGAGUUCAGACAAGCAUUUAAAACACUCAAGUCACCAGGCGUGGUGGCGCACACCUUUAAUCCCAGCACUCGGGAGGCAGAGGCAGGCGGAUUUCUGAGUUCGAGGACAGCCUGGUCUACAAAGUGAGUUCCAGGACAGCCAGGGCUACACAGAGAAACCCUGUCUCCAAACAAACAAAAAACAAGUCAGGGGCUCAAGAGAUGGCUCAUGAGCUAAGAGCAUUUAGCUAUUACAGAGGGUCUGGGUUUCGUUCCUUGUACCAACAUGGAAGUUCACACUUCCUGAAACUGCUCUGGGAGCUCUCACAGGCACCCCCUUCCAACCUGUGGAUUCCUGCACACAUAGGCAUAGACUUGCAGGCACAUACAUUUAAAGAUUAAAAGCACAUUCAAGUCUGGCCUGAGAUGCUGGGAUUCAUGAGGCCUAUUUUUUUGAAGUCCUAUAAAUGUCAUAUUAAAAUGACUUGUCGGGUUCAUUAACCUAAAACGACAUAAUUUAUGGUAAGAAAUUCAGGCCACUGAAUGACAAGCUCAAAUUUGAUCCACACCAUGACAAAAAUACUUCUUGUCUUUUUUUUUUGUUUGUUUGUUUUUGACUCCUCCCUUUGUAGCAACUGCAUUUCUUUAGUUUCUCCUAGAAGACAGGAAAUCCUGACUCUUGAAAAAAAUUACAAUUCUAAAAUUUUGUAUGUGGCAGAGGUAUGUACUAUAGUGUGCCUGGGGAGGUCAGAGGAAAACUUGUUAGAGUCUAUUUUCUGCCUCCACCAUGUGGGUCUUAAGGAGCAGACUAAGAUCAUCAGAAUUGGUAGCAAUUGCCCUUACCCGCUGAACCCACUACCACCACCACCACUGCUGGCUCUUUAAUUCUAUUCUCUCCCCCAAAUAAAUUAAUGAGAUGUUUAUUUGAGCAUUUCCCAAGUAUUUACUCAGUGCUAGACAAAAGAAAAAAAAAUCCAAACAUGAUUCAUGCUAUUUGGAUAAACAGAAGGGGGAAGGCAGAGAACUAACAUUUAAGUAGAUAUGCUGUGAUUAGCAGCGCUUUUGAAUACCAGUAGAACCAUAUAUUUUUUACUGUAUAAAGGAAUAAAAGAAUUAAUGGCAGUCGACAACUUAAGAGAGGAGAAGUAGGUGGGAUAAGGAGCUGGUAAAAAGCAAGGACUGAAAAUUGUGGGGAAAAAAGUAACAGGGAGGGAGAAGUCAAGAAGCUGAAAGAACUUGACAGUGUUAGCUUGGAGAGAUGGGGAGGGGCUGUGACAGCCGAGGACCUGAGGACCUGAAGACCACGAGCACGUGUCGUGAAGAUCUUGGGUGGGAAAAUGACAUCAGGUAUCUGAUGUGAAUUACUGGGUAAUAUUAGGCAAAUAGUGUUAACCUCUCUGGAUCUGAGCAUCAGAUCAAAGACCCGAAGGUGAGAAGGACAGGAGACUAACAAGAUUUAAACUUUGCAAAGCAUUUCAGUGACUUCAUGAAACCAAUGCAAUGGGUGGUAACACAGCAAGAUAACCUUGGGUUCAAAGCCAUUCCGCGAAAUUUUAGCCAGAUUCUGUC
rnacentral:lncRNA from 1 species